CACAAAUUCUCAAUCUUAACGAAAUUUGGACUUUUGGAAAUUUGAACUUAACACAACUCUAAAGGUUAAUAAAAUUACUAUUUUACAGGUUAUCAACAUGAGAAACAGAUUUUGAGUAAUUAUGCCAAACUCAGAAAUUCAGUAUGUUAGAAUUUAGUAUCUCCAUGGCCUAGCUUCAUGAGUCACAGGACUUCUUCUCAAGUCCAGAUGAAAACUUCACUGCUUUUACAGUAAAUUUUAAAAGAUUAUUGGUAGAUAUAGGAAGACAGGCUCAUUUGUUUUUAUGAAACUCUCCUAGUUUUAUUCCUAACUAUGGAAAGCAAUCAAAACCUUUGUAGGUGUGAAGGGAAGAAAUGAGAUAUGAGUCCUGUUUCCUGAAAGCCCAUUUCUUUUUCUCAAUCAACCCCACCAGGUGAACAGUACAGAGUAAAGGCUUUUACAAUAAGCCUUUGUCAUUGCACAAGUCGGAUAGUGUGGUGCAGGCAGUUCCGAGGUUGGGUGAUUCCGAGGCUGGAGAAAUCCGUUUCAGCUAUCUCAUGCAGAGUCAAUACUGUCCAUGGAAAAUGGAAAACUUUGGGGAAUUACAGCAGAUUCUAGCUCAGAUCUUUUCUGCAGGAGCUGGGUAAUGUCCACACUGAAACCACCAGCGGGUAGGAAAUGAGGAUCCCCACUGGGUUCAUAUCACUCAUCAUUCCCUCCAGGAAACAGGAGAGAGAGUGCCGGUCUGCCUCACCUGAGAACAUUGGGAAUAAAAGAUACACAGUGUGUGGCCUGACUGCUGGUAGAAGUGGGACAGUUUCCGCAACAGACACUGGCAAUGCUACGUCUCAGGCCAAGGGAAGGUCCUGCCAAGGAAAUAUUUAAUAUUCCAGAAUCUUGUUCUUGGAUUCAACGUGAAAAUAUUGCUCACCUGAAACUCAUCAAUCUGAGACCCAAGGGAUGCCAAAGUCCCUGUCAUCUGCUCAUUAAGCCAAGGGCAUCACACAAAGGCCUACUUCUAACACCUCCUGAAUCUUAAUGAGAGAGAGUAUUGAUCUCUACAAUUUAUGAUCCUACGGCAGUGGGGUGGCUUUUCACACGUGGAACCUCCUCACUUGUGCUCAAUGACUUCGAAAAACACCUCUAGCGCGGGCUGGAUAUAGUAUCCGCGAGCCGAGGGUUUUCUCGGUUUCUUCGUUCUCUGGCCUUAAAGGUAAGGUGCCGGGCGCUGAAAGAGGCGGCCACCGCAGCGGAUUUCACCGCGGAGGGCCGGGCGCGGGGAGCCGGUGGCCCAGCUGCUGCGGAGGCCCCACCUGUGCGUCCCUCCAAUCCUUCCCUG
rnacentral:lncRNA from 1 species